GAGCGGCGCUUUUGUCGCGGUUAUUGUUUAUCAGAAUACCAAAUUGUAACAUGACACCGAAACGAACGAUUUGACAGCAAAAAUCAGCGCUGAGGGUGUGUGAAGCGAGUUACAGAAUCGCAGGGCUGCCCUGCGAUUCUGUAACUCACUGUUAUUCCGUGAGUCCACUACGCAGUAACAGCGCUCCCUUCGUCACUGACGUAAUUUUUGGAAUCUCAUGGUAUUCUGUUAAGAAAUUUUACAUUACGUCUUGAUAAGUGGAGGGAGGUAACCUAGUGAGUUGUUGUCUAUUAAUAUCGUGACAAUUGACUCAUUUUAUUUUAUAAAAAGAGUUAAUUGUCAAAAUUUUCAUCAUACAUAAACAAAAUAUUUUUAAUAAAACAAAAUGGUUGACGACGAAUGAAGAAUAUUAACAAAAAGAUAAACUGAAAAUAUCUCAAAAAUGAUUUAUCUGAUGGAAAAUAAUAGAAUAGCGAGGAAAAUUAUUAAAACCCAUCUGGCAAUGGGGCCGCUUAAAGCACGAAACAAGUUAUACCUAACAUGUGGAUAUAUUGUAAAAAAUUUAAGAAUAUUAUCUUAACAAAAAGAUUAUUAUGUCUCGCUAAAAGUGAUUCUCUCAGCAAAUGGUCUAAGGAUUCAAAUUAAACAGGAUGGAUAGGUAUCUUCAAUUUUCAAAAUAUUACUAAAGCCAUCAGCGGUAGUUGUCAAGAAUGAGGAAGAAAAUGACCAAUUAUUG